rnacentral:rRNA from 1 species
GACGAACGCUGGCGGCGUGCUUAACACAUGCAAGUCGAGCGGUAAGGCCCUUUCGGGGGUACGACGAGCGGCGAACGGGUGAGUAACACGUGGGUGACCUGCCCUCAGCUCUGGGAUAAGCCUGGGAAACUGGGUCUAAUACUGGAUAUGACUCCACGGUGCAUGUCGUGGGGUGGAAAGCCUUGUGCGGCUGAGGAUGGGCCCGCGGCCUAUCAGCUUGUUGGUGGGGUGANGGCCUACCAAGGCGACGACGGGUAGCCGGCCUGAGAGGGCGACCGGCCACACUGGGACUGAGACACGGCCCAGACUCCUACGGGAGGCAGCAGUGGGGAAUCUUGCGCAAUGGGCGAAAGCCUGACGCAGCGACG